GUAAAAGUGCGGCAAACGAACUCAUAAUCCUCGUGUCGCAGGUUCGAGUCCUGCUGGGCCCA
rnacentral:tRNA from 1 species